GCGAAUCAUUACAGUGAGUCUAGAGUCAUGGUUGUCCGUUGUUUUUGUUUGGGUGUUAGGGGUAAAUGUCGAGUGUUGUGUCGCGAAAAGUUUUUAAAUACCAAAUACGUCAAAUUUUUUAAAAUAAGUUUUUACAGGUUUUACAUAUUCUAUUGUGUGUUCCCCAUAAAAUGAUUACUAAUACCGAGGUAAUACUAGAAUGAAUUUGUUGGUACAUCGCGGCUAAAACCAUCUUGGAAUGUGGUCAUAGAUGCUCUGGAGAAAUUAUAGAGAAUGAGUGAAUUUAACUCUGCAUUGGCAACAUACACUUCCACAGCACUAAUCACUCUAAACAACCCCAACCAAGAUGAUUGCAGACCGAUAGCAAAGAAGACUAAUACUUGAAGUUAAGGGAAGUGCAAGAGCUAGGCAAAACGACCAUUGUUUUCUUGAAGACUAGCUGCUGCCAACUGUCGGAGAAUACCGUGAACUGUUUCUAAGCCAUCUUAGUUAUGUGUAUCGUUGCUUUUUAUGUAAAAAUAGGUUGAAGUAAAUUGAAAUUAAUUAAUUAAUUUUUUUUAAUGUUUAAAGGUCGGUUAAU